AUUGAACGCUGGCGGCAUGCCUUACACAUGCAAGUCGAACGGUAGCGGGCCUUCGGGUGCCGACGAGUGGCGAACGGGUGAGUAAUGUAUCGGAACGUACCUUUCAGUGGGGGAUAACGUAGCGAAAGUUACGCUAAUACCGCAUAUUCUGUGAGCAGGAAAGCAGGGGAUCGCAAGACCUUGCGCUGAUUGAGCGGCCGAUAUCAGAUCAGCUAGAUGGUAAGGUAAAGGCUCACCAAGGCGACGAUCUGUAGCGGGUCGGAGAGGAUGAUCCGCCACACUGGAACUGAGACACGGUCCAGACUCCUACGGGAGGCAGCAGUGGUGAAUUUUGGACAAUGGGGGCAACCCUGAUCCAGCCAUGCCGCGUGAGUGAAGAAGGCCUUCGGGUUGUAAAGCUCUUUCGGCCGGGAAGAAAUCGUAUCAGCUAAUACCUGGUGCGGAUGACGGUACCGGCAUAAGAAGCACCGGCUAACUACGUGCCAGCAGCCGCGGUAAUAC
rnacentral:rRNA from 1 species